rnacentral:rRNA from 1 species
UGGGGAAUAUUGGACAAUGGGGGAAACCCUGAUCCAGCAAUGCCGCGUGAGUGAAGAAGGCCUUAGGGUUGUAAAGCUCUUUCGCCCGCGAAGAUAAUCACGGUAGCGGGAGAAGAAGCCCCGGCUAACUCCGUGCCAGCAGCCGCGGUAAUACGGAGGGGGCUAGCGUUGUUCGGAAUUACUGGGCGUAAAGCGUACGUAGGCGGAUGCGCAAGUUGGGGGUGAAAUCCCGGGGCUUAACUGGGAGGGUGCGCCGAAGACUGGGAAGCUGGAGUGUGGGAAAGGCAGGCGGAAUUCCUGGUGUAGCGGUGAAAUGCGUAGAUAUCAGGAGGAACACCGGCGGUGUAGACGGCUUGCUAGACCAUAACUGACGCUGAGGCACGAAAGCGUGGGUAGCAAACA